CUUCAAGGCUGAGCACUCUCAGCUUGUUUUAUUAACCCACUUCAUUCCUCCAUCCAUAAGCACUGGCCCGGAGAUGAACAAGUAAUAUAGACAACCUAGUCAGGAUGGAUCUUGGGACACUCUCUUAGAAGUCUUUGAUAAGCGCAGUUUCAUUCUUCCUCAGGACACUGUGGCAUGUGGAUGUGAAGCCACUACAGGCAUUUUUUUUUUUCCAUAAGAGAAGCAGCAGAAAGACAUAAUCAUUAUUUAGAAGGGGACACAGCCAGGAAAUUGCAAAGAAACAGGCAGAGUCACCAGCCGAUGGUCCUCCUCAAGCUGAUCCUACUUCUGAGAUUGAAGUUAGCAAAAUCAGUAAGGGUCUUUGUAUUUAAUUCAAUUGAGUCAAGAUGUUCCUAAAGUAUUAUAACACCUUUACCCCCCACAGGCUGUUUUUCUUCUUGCUUCUUUUAAACCUGGGUCAAGUGGUUCUAGGAAGAUGUGAAAACCAUUCAGUAUUUACGGGGAACUGAAGCAGUCAUGGUAAUAAUUCCUCAUGAUCACCUUCCUAGAUGAAGGUAAAUCCUAAUGUAAGCAAGACAUCUUUUUUUGUGGUUUGAAAUGGAAAUGCUAUCUCCUCGGAUCUAAAUAGAAUCGACUGAUGAAAUGACUGCAAGAAAAAAGUACUUAUAUCUCAUACUGUUGCUUUCUCCCACAGUAAGCGACUUAACUAUUUGUCAGCAAAUUGAUAACUGUUGAGUGGAUGAUUCACAGGGAGUGUAUUAGGAAGUGGAAGUUGGGUUGGGAAAUAGAGGAAUCAAAGAAAGGCCUGGUCCAUGGCCACAAGCAGUUUACCCUUUAAUUGAGCCGUUCUCCCUGCUUUUCACUUCCAAUGUGUAAUCGUGGACUGUUUGCCCACUGGAAGAAAGCUCAGGGAGUCCUGUCUAGAUCUUCCCUAAUAGCCUAUUGACUCUGUCUUUAGAAUAUUGAGCCAGAGCACACCAACAGAGACACCAAUGAUCCAUGUAACCUUUCCCCUAUAUCCAACAAACCCAUGACUUUGCCAGCCCGGAACUGAAAUUUAAGCCAGGGUGGGUAUUGGAAUCUUCU
rnacentral:lncRNA from 12 species